UCGCAACCGAGAUUUUGGUUCGGAAGUCGGUUACGUAAGGGGAAGGUAUUAGCACCCCUUACGUCCAUGGUACUCCAUGGGAACCAUUUAGGUUGUUUUACAUACAUGGGAUUUAUCUAUUAUUGUUUUAAUUUCAAAAGAAUGUGUGAAAAGAAGGGGGUGUUUUUGUUAUUAUAGUGCUCGCCAAGGAUUGGGGCUCUUGUUCCUACGUAUCACUCAUUCGGGGAUGAGGAAUCAGAGCUCCGUAGUUCGGAGUAGAAAAUGUUUGUGUGUUGGUUGAUUUUACCUUUGAGAAAAGGGUUUUCAGGAUGAUGCCCUAAGGCACAAAAAUAGAGGAAUCAGAGCUCCGUAGUUCGGAGUAGAAAAUGUUUGUGUGUUGGUUGAUUUUACCUUUGAGAAAAGGGUUUUCAGGAUGAUGCCCUAAGGCACAAAAAUGAGUUUGAUGAGUUGUAUUGUUUUCACCUUGAAUAAGGGUUUUAUGGAAGAAUGUUUGUGAUUAUUUUGUACUAAAGUCUAUGGGAGGAGGUGAUUAUUCUAGACAACAAGCCAAGCGUCUUGAAUCCAAAAUAAUAAGAGUAAGGGUAGGAAUGCUCCAUUCUCACUCAUUCUCCACCACUUAAGGCUCGUGGCGCACAAUAACAAUCGUAAUUAUUAAGUGUUUUGAAUUUGAUUAUAAAAUGCCACUUGACGUUGAAUCAAGGGUUUGUUUUAUUUAAUUAUGAAAUUUGGCUUAUGCAACAUGAAUGCAAAGCAACCAACAAGAAAUUAAAGAGUCUCAUUGUAAGGUAGCCCAAGAGAAAGCCUUUUGUGUGCAAAAGUGACCUAAGUUAAACAAAGGAUAAUGGUCUUACAAAUAUGUCCCCCUAAGGUGGUGCCAUGAUGCCAUUCUUACAACAUGCAUGUAAGUUACGGAUGAAAAUCCAAGUGUUUACAAAGUAUCACAAAGAGUAAAGAAAAGGCCUCCAAGCAAAGGUCCUAAGAUGAAAUUCUCUAAGUCCAAGUUGAUUAAGAGUAGAGUGAAUAUUUUUGGUCUUUAUCAUUUUAUCAUGUUUUUGUUAUUUUUAAUGUAUGAUGAUAAUAAAAUAAAUAACAAGUAAAUAAAUAUGCAUGAUGAGUUUGUACAAUGAUGAUGAUAAUGAGUACUUGAAGGUAAAUGUUCAAUAAAAUAAAUUGCAA
rnacentral:lncRNA from 1 species